CCUACGGGAGGCAGCAGUGGGGAAUAUUGCACAAUGGGGGAAACCCUGAUGCAGCGACGCCGCGUGAGUGAAGAAGUAUUUCGGUAUGUUAAGCUCUAUCAGCAGGGGAGAAAAUGAGGGUACCUGAUUAAGAAGCCCCGGCUAACUACGUGCCAGCAGCCGCGGUAAUACGUAGGGGGCAAGCGUUAACAGGAUUUACUGGGUGUAAAGGGAGCGUAGAUGGCAGCACAAGUGUGGAGAGAAAUGCCGGGGCUUAACCCCGGAAAUGCCGUUGAAAAUGUGCAGCUUGAGUGCAGGAGAGGUAAGUGGAAUUCCUUGUGUAGCGGUGAAAUGCAUAGAUAUCACGCAGAACUCCGAUUGCGAAGGCAGCAUACCGGCGCGCAACUGACGCUGAUGCACGAAAGCGUGGGUAUCGAACAGGAUUAGAUACCCUUGUAGUC
rnacentral:rRNA from 1 species